GAUGAACGCUGGCGGCGUGCCUAAUACAUGCAAGUCGAGCGAAUGGAUUAAGAGCUUGCUCUUAUGAAGUUAGCGGCGGACGGGUGAGUAACACGUGGGUAACCUGCCCAUAAGACUGGGAUAACUCCGGGAAACCGGGGCUAAUACCGGAUAACAUUUUGAACCGCAUGGUUCGAAAUUGAAAGGCGCCUUCGGCUGUCACUUAUGGAUGGACCCGCGUCGCAUUCGCUAGUUGGUGAGGUAACGGCUCACCAAGGCAACGAUGCGUAGCCGACCUGAGAGGGUGAUCGGCCACACUGGGACUGAGACACGGCCCAGACUCCUACGGGAGGCAGCAGUAGGGAAUCUUCCGCAAUGGACGAAAGUCUGACGGAGCAACGCCGCGUGAGUGAUGAAGGCUUUCGGGUCGUAAAACUCUGUUGUUAGGGAAGAACAAGUGCUAGUUGAAUAAGCUGGCACCUUGACGGUACCUAACCAGAAAGCCACGGCUAACUACGUGCCAGCCGCCGCGGUAA
rnacentral:rRNA from 1 species